UUGGUGGGGCAUCUCGCCACU
rnacentral:misc_RNA from 1 species